rnacentral:rRNA from 1 species
GGGCGCAAGCCUGAUGCAGCGACGCCGCGUGAGGGAUGGAGGCCUUCGGGUUGUAAACCUCUUUUGUUAGGGAGCAAGGCACUUUGUGUUGAGUGUACCUUUCGAAUAAGCACCGGCUAACUACGUGCCAGCAGCCGCGGUAAUACGUAGGGUGCAAGCGUUAUCCGGAAUUAUUGGGCGUAAAGGGCUCGUAGGCGGUUCGUCGCGUCCGGUGUGAAAGUCCAUCGCUUAACGGUGGAUCUGCGCCGGGUACGGGCGGGCUUGAGUGCGGUAGGGGAGACUGGAAUUCCCGGUGUAACGGUGGAAUGUGUAGAUAUCGGGAAGAACACC